UCAACGCGCACGCACCGUUGGGCACAAUGGCAAAGCUACGUGCGCGCUCCCGCUGUGUAGCGACAAGAUGGCGGGCGCCGCCGGAUCAGGCGUUAAAGUUCCUCGCAAUUUCCGGCUCUUGGAAGAGCUGGAGGAAGGCCAGAAAGGUGUGGGAGAUGGGACGGUGAGCUGGGGUCUGGAGGAUGACGAGGACAUGACCUUAACACGAUGGAGAGGAGUGAUCCUCGGCCCUCCCAGGACAAGCUAUGAAAACAGGAUGUACAAUCUGAAGGUUGAAUGUGGGCCAGGAUACCCAGAGUCACCGCCGUUUGUCAGAUUUGUGACAAAGAUAAACUUGAAUGGCGUGCACAACUCCAACGGUGUGGUUGACAUGCAUGCAGUGACUGCACUGGCCAAGUGGCAGAACUCCUACAGCAUCCGGAUGGUGCUGCUGGAGCUGCGACGGCUCAUGACGUGCAAGGAAAACAUGAAGCUUCCUCAGCCACCCGAGGGCCAGAUCUACACCAACUGAGCCCUACUGCUACUUUUGCCUCCAUCUUUUUCUCCUUUCCCCUCCUCUCCCAACUCUUCUGUUUUGCUUUCAUCCCUUUAUCCCCAUCAUCCGCCAUGUGACAUUCCACCUCCUGCCAACACCUUGGCUGAACACACAAACACACACGCAACAAUAACAGGUAUUUGAGAAUUGCAAGUCAGCCCUGUCUGAGAAAAUGAUCUACAGCAGCAAUGAUGUCAUCAUCUAUUGUCAAAAUGGCGGCUGCUGAGCUCCCUCUGUAUCUCUCUUGGAAGAGGUGGCAGACUGAGGGGGCCAGAUCAGGUGAACAGGGCGGGUGUUGGGCGAGUUCAAAUCAGCAUUUGGCUGGUGUUCAUUUUCUCAGAUGGUGCUGACGUGCAAAUUUUAAUUAGCCAAAACAGAAAAACCACAAAAGUUAUUAACUUCAAACCUCCCUGUAAAAUCACUGAAAGAGUUAAACUGCACGUGUCUGUAACGAGAACUGUUUAACUCGUGUCCUUCAGCGUUAGGCCACAGACUCAUCAGUCACCCCUCAGUUGUGAAUGCAUGGCUGCAGCUCAGCAAGGUGCCUGGAAGUGGUCACCUUUAGUCACACAUGGCUUUUUUUCUUUCUCUUCUAUGUAAGAACUGUCCCAAAGUGAACGUUGUAUCUAUACCACUAUAUCUGAUCUUAAUAUGCAUAUUAGUGUAGUAUGCAUAUCUGCUGUAGGUCUGCAGAAGUCCCAGUUAAAACCAUGCUUGAAAGUAGAAGUGAAAUCAGCUACCUCUUUUGGGUCCUGUGUAACGUCAGAGGAGUUUAUUUCUGACUUUGUGAAACUGUCUUUGCUACUUCAUGUGACAAUUUGUUUUACUUCACUUCUUUCAUAAAUCUGACUUCAUGCUUUUCA